UACAGAGGUCUCAAGCGUUGUUCGGAUUCAUUGGGCGUAAAGAGCGUCGUAGGCGGCUCAGUAAGUCGGGUGUGAAACCCUCAGGCUCAACCUGGGGACGCCACUCGAUACUGCUGUGGCUAGAGUCCAGUAGAGGAGUGUGGAAUUCCCGGUGUAGCGGUGAAAUGCGCAGAUAUCGGGAGGAACACCAAGCGGCGAAGGCAGCACUCUGGGCGUGGAACGUGACGCUGAGGAGCGAAAGCCAGGGGAGCAAAGCAGG
rnacentral:rRNA from 1 species